GACGAACGCUGGCGGCGUGCUUAACACAUGCCAGUCGAACGCUGAAGCUCAGCUUUUGUUGGGUGGAUGAGUGGCGAACGGGUGAGUAACACGUGAGUAACCUGCCUCCUUCUUUGGGAUAACGCCCGGAAACGGGUGCUAAUACUGGAUAUUCACUGGUCUUCGCAUGGGGGUUGGUGGAAAGGGUUUUUCUGGUGGGGGAUGGGCCCGCGGCCUAUCAGCUUGUUGGUGGGGUGGUGGCCUACCAAGGCUUUGACGGGUAGCCGGCCGGGGAGGGUGACCGGUCACAUUGGGACUGAGAUACGGCCCAUACUCCUACGGGAGGCAGCAGUGGGGAAUAUUGUACAAUGGGCGCAAGCCUGAUGCAGCGACGCCGCGUGAGGGAUGGAGGCCGUCGGGUUGUGAACCUCUUUCGCUAAUGGUCAAGCCGCAACAAUGGUUGUGGUGAGGGUAGUGGGUAAAGAAGCGCCGGCUAACUACGUG
rnacentral:rRNA from 1 species